CCUACGGGUGGCAGCAGUGGGGAAUAUUGGACAAUGGGGGGAACCCUGAUCCAGCCAUGCCGCGUGUGUGAAGAAGGCCCUCGGGUUGUAAAGCACUUUCAGUGAGGAAGAACGCCUGGUGGUUAAUACCCAUCAGGAAAGACAUCACUCACAGAAGAAGCACCGGCUAACUCCGUGCCAGCAGCCGCGGUAAUACGGAGGGUGCGAGCGUUAAUCGGAAUUACUGGGCGUAAAGCGAGCGUAGGUGGCUUGAUAAGCCGGUUGUGAAAGCCCCGGGCUCAACCUGGGAACGGCAUCCGGAACUGUCAAGCUAGAGUGCAGGAGAGGAAGGUAGAAUUCCCGGUGUAGCGGUGAAAUGCGUAGAGAUCGGGAGGAAUACCAGUGGCGAAGGCGGCCUUCUGGACUGACACUGACACUGAGGUGCGAAAGCGUGGGUAGCAAACAGGAUUAGAUACCCCGGUAGUC
rnacentral:rRNA from 1 species